CCUACGGGAGGCUGCAGUGGGGAAUAUUGGACAAUGGGCGAAAGCCUGAUCCAGCCAUGCCGCGUGUGUGAAGAAGGCCUUCGGGUUGUAAAGCACUUUCAGUGGGGAAGAAAGCCUUGGGGCUAAUACCCUCGAGGAAGGACAUCACCCACAGAAGAAGCACCGGCUAACUCCGUGCCAGCAGCCGCGGUAAUACGGAGGGUGCGAGCGUUAAUCGGAAUUACUGGGCGUAAAGCGCGCGUAGGCGGUCUGAUAAGCUGGUUGUGAAAGCCCCGGGCUCAACCUGGGAACGGCAUCCGGAACUGUCAGGCUAGAGUGCAGGAGAGGAAGGUAGAAUUCCCGGUGUAGCGGUGAAAUGCGUAGAGAUCGGGAGGAAUACCAGUGGCGAAGGCGGCCUUCUGGACUGACACUGACGCUGAGGUGCGAAAGCGUGGGUAGCAAACAGGAUUAGAUACCCGAGUAGUC
rnacentral:rRNA from 1 species